rnacentral:lncRNA from 1 species
AUGUCACUGCUGCUAAAGGCCUGGCUGGGACAGUGCUUGCCAGGCAGUGCCCCGAGCUCUGGGCAAUAUCUUAGCACACUGUGGCUCAGAUUUGUUCUCCAGGAUUUUCAUGGGGCAGUGCAGGCUGGUCUGGUGUCAGCAUUCCCAGCCACCAGUGAAGGAGCCAGGAAAGGAAGCUGCCAGUCCAUGCUGGAACCCAGGAAUCCUGCCACUGGCGCUGGAGCCAAUGAAGCUUGGGGUGAGCCAUCCAUUUAGGAAUUGCAGCUGACCAGCCCCGGAGCCAGUGAGCCCCUCAGCCAGCCCAUAAGCAGCGUUUCAAGAGGCAGGGUGAAGCCUUUGUACAUUCAUUCUGAGAUGGGAGGUCAGAGCUGUCCUGGGGAAAAGAAGAGGCGCUCGAAUGUAAAGCCCACCACAGUCAAGGCGUGCUUGUGGGUGAAGACGGCUGUGAUGAGGAGCAGCCCAGUGAUAACGGGUGGAACUGGAAGUGAAGGGUAGACACCGCAGAGGAUCUGUGACUUCAGCGAGCAGCUGAACCGACCACAAGGCAUUGUUCCAGACCCCAAGCUUUAGAGUGUCCUUUAAAGCCAAGGGCAGCUGCUUGUGCUCAGCACCUCUGAAAAGCCCCGGAUCCUUGGCCGCUUUUGAAAAUGUAGCUACAUGUGACCCAGCAAAAGCUGCAGGGAGAGUCAGUGUCCAAGCUGGCGUUAGGAUACCCAGCCCGCGUCUGGAGGCUGCCAAGGCCAACCUGGACAGGCUUCAAGCAGACAGUUUGUCAUCAGCCGUAGGUGUGAUCGGAACGUGCCUCUGAGCGAGAGCUCAGAACAGAACGGAGCGUGAAAUCUGAGUCCCAUCACAAACGCUGAGCUCAUGCAGUCACUAUGCAAACAACUGCCUCCCUCCAUUUAGCUCUGUGAACCCAGCCUGGGGGAGUGACUCUGCAUGUUGAUGGUGGAGCCCCCACCCAACAGGAGCCAUUUUUAGACAUGAUUUAAGUGCCCACAUAACCUGAAUGCCCAGGCCAGUGUGUGCUUUAAGAACUGUACGGUCUGUGAUACUUAUCAAACAGAACAUGAGGCCUUUAUGUGUUGAUCUUUAUGAGGUCCCUGGGCCUGUCCUGUUACUGCCUGACUGCUCCAUCCAGAGGGGUGUGGAAGAGCAAUGCGGGGCUGCCUUGCUGGUCUUCUUGCUAGUCUGCAACUAGUCUGUCAGAUUCUGACCCUUCUGUGGGAGAUCAAAAAGCCAAGAAGGUGAAAGGGGCCCACGUGAUCUUGCACUGCUAGGACUCCCUAGGGAAGUCCAAGUCCCCAUAUUUCCUGUAUCAAACACUGUCCCUUUUUAAUACACCCUUGGUGUGUGGUGAAUAAACCUCCAUCCCCAGAGUGCUCCA